CAAAAAUAAGAAGACUCUGCAAGGUGGAGAGAAGCCAGACCAGCUAUAAACCUCAGGCACAGAGGGACGAGUGGGGCCACCAGCCUUCCUUCACCGUGGAGCCUUGCCAGUUCUCUUUGGUAAAUGACCUGCGAGGCCCGUGCUGAGAAGAAGGAAGAGCAAGCCUGGGAAGAACCCAUGAAGAAUGGAAAGCAAAGAAAAGCAGACACACCUAUCGUUUCUAGAAUGCGUUGAAAGGAUCAUCAAAAUGAGGAAGAAAUUC